rnacentral:lncRNA from 1 species
CUUGGCUAGGCUGUGGUGUGCAGUUGUUUUGUCAACCCUAGCUUACAUGUUGUUGUAUAUUCCAGUUGUAGGUUCUUCUGGUUGUGCUAUAUGGGAUGCUGCCUCAACGUGGCUUGAUGAGCAGAGCCAUGUCUGUGCCCAGGAUCCGAACCAGUGAAACCCUGGGCCGCCAAAGCAGAGUGUGCCAACUUAAUCGCUCGGCCACAGGGCUGUCCCCUCUCAGAGGAUUCUUAUCUCCAAGGCUUAAGGAGCCUUGGAUUUGACUGCUGUAUGUCCACCAUCUCAUGGUGCAGCAUACAUAGAAAAUGACAAAUGAGAAUUUCAAAUGGGGGGUUUGACUGCCCUUGUGUCUGCUGCCCAGCUGCCUGGGGGCUGAGGAGGCUCAGGAUCGUGCACGCCUAUAACGGAAGCCCUGUACCAGACCGUGAGCACCGUGAGACCAUGGGGCCAUGUAUCUCUGUGCCUGGCACAGUUGUUGACUGGAUAAAUCACUAGAUUCACUCCUGGUGCAAAGGUAGACAUUGGGAUAAAAUAAUUCCCGCCAAGGUGCUAGAGAUUUACCCAGUAAAUAUACACAUGUAAGACUGCCCUACAUUUUGGAAACAUUAGCUCUUGAGAAUAGAAGAUCUUUUGCGGCAAUGGACUUUUCCCAGCACCUGCCAUCAUGCUGAAUGGCAUCCUUGCCCUGCAGUGAGAGUGAGAGGUGAAGACUAGUAUGCCUCAGGGAGAGGGAGGAGUAAGAUAAGGAAGGAGGCUUGGGGAGAGAGCAAAGAACAGAGAGAAGACAAAAAGACAGGAAGAGAGGAGCGUUUCAGGACUGGAGUCUUUUUUAAUGGGACUGAGGGGGAAUGGUUGUCUGAACAAACCCAGGAAGUUGCUGUGACGUGCACUCUUUUCUACCUUAUCUGCAGGCAGCUCCGGCCAGAUAAGGGGUGUCACUGUGAUUUCUCAGCCUUGGCUGUUGUGGCUGUGUGGUUGUUCAACUCCCAGCCCUGAGUGUCUGUGUACGGGCUUCCCUGGAUUUUCUCAGAAAUCCAAAUGGUUGGCGCAAGGAUUCAGACAGACUUUGGAAACUGAGCUGCUGAGAGUUGAGAGCCCAGCUGGUAAGGAACUAAGGCCACAAACUGAAACUAGAUCAGGCACUGGAGAAACCGAGAAAUCAAAGGAACCCUUGCCUUGGGGAGAGCUUCUUAUUCAUCAAGACCAAAUAGGUAACCCAGAGAUGAAGAACGCAAGUAACCAUUGCAGUUAACUCUUUUUCUAAAAAAAAUAUUUUUAUUGUAAAAUUAAACACAGAUACAGAAAAACAAACUACUGUGAAGCUUAGUGAAUUAUUAUGCAGUGAAUACCCUUAUAACUACCACCCAAAUCGAGAAAGAAUUCCCAGGCACCCCCGUCACCCCUCCAUGUGCCUCAUCCCAACACAAUCUCUCCCUACCUCCAAAAGUAACCACUAUCCUGACUUUUGUAGUAAUUACUUCCUUGCAUUUAUUUAUGGUUUUAUCACUUAAGUGUGCAUCUCUAAAACCUAUAGUUUAGUCUUGUCCAUAUGUUUUUUAACUUGAUAGGCUUUUUAGGUCUCUUUUAAUCUGUGGUUUCCCCCUCUACCUCUUUCUUUUCCUUACAAUUUAUCUGUUGACAAAUCUGGGCCAUUUGACUUGUCAGGUUUCCUACAGUGAGAUUUGCUGACUGCUCACUCAUGGUGCAGUUCAGCGUGUUCCUCUGUCUUCUGUAUUUCCUGCCAUUUGGGAGCUGGAUCAAGAGGAUUGAUUUAAUACAGGUUUAAUCCCUUUAAUAAGAUUAUUGGUGAUGUUAUAUCUUGUGUCUGGUUUACACUGUUUUUGAUAUUAGUCGAAGCAGAUGCUCAAGGUCUACCUCAUUAAUUCAUUGGGAGUUGAAAAUAGUAAUAUUUUAAUUUCAUAUAUUUAUUUAU